rnacentral:lncRNA from 1 species
GCAGAGACCCCCUGUGAUGAGGGCUGCGAGCCGCCUGGAGCUCAGAGCCGGCAGAUCCCCCGCGCUCCCUCCGCGCCUCCCCAAUUAACAGGCAGCCUGUCGGUGAGGCCGGCAGGCAGGUACCGGGCCUGUCACAGCCGCCAGACAGGGCCCUCGCCCCUCCCAUCCCUGCCUGCCACCCCCGCCCCCGCCGUCUGCGUCUUCCCCAGCCUGUCACACGCCCCACGCGGUGAGAAGCGAGCGAGCGAUUCCCACAGCCCAAGGAGAGCGCAAGGACUGGUGGCUGAAGCGUCUGCAGCAGCCUCCCUCGACCCCGCCCCGGCGGUGACGUGUGCCAGCGUGACCAGGAGUCCACCUUCCUCAUCCUGGUUCUCCACAGAAAUGGGCAACAGAGGCCUGCUCCGGAGGAGAAAUUCGCCCAGCCUAUUUGAGUGCAAUCACGGAUUCAGGCUGUGCCAGAGAAAGCCAUUGGAUUUCCCAACUCGGCACACUAAGUGCUCAAUGAAAGCUCACCAAAUGGGGUAUUGA